AUGAGUAGGUGUGUCCAAACCUUUGACUGGUACUGUAUAUAACCAACUUUUAGACAUCCCGGUGUACGCAUACCGAGCUAUAUGCCAUUUCAAUAAGCUUUUCGUGACUAACUUUUUCAUCAUGCACGAUAAACGUUACCUUGAACUAUUUAUUAAAUGGUGAUCCCUGUUAGCCUAAACAACGUAGCUGUUCAUAAAACAUUAUUGUAGUUAGAUAUUUAUAGAUCUACAUGCGAACCUUUUCUACAUAGUUUUAUGUCCGGUGUAUUCCGCAGCAGUCUUCGUAGCCGAUCAUUCUCUUCCUGGUACUCGACUACCGUUUUCUCAACUGCCCCGAAAAUCUCCACAGCAGCCGCCGUUAAACGCUCAUUUAAGAACACAUGCAACAUCUGUAAUGUAGACAUUUUCAGGCGACUGAAAGAACUGAGAGAUGGCCAGGCCGUGGUGGAAGACACCGGCUGUUCACACCAGAACAGGAGACCACUAUUGUGAACAUGGUGGUGGCAAACAAUACCAUUAGACUAGGAGAAAUCCAGAACUACAUAAUUGCAGACAACACAAUAUUCAAUAACAUUCACCAGGUGGGCUUGUCUACAUUGGACCGUGUAUUACAGCACAACCGAAUCCGGAUGAAAUGGGUCUACAGGGGGCCAUUUGAGCAAAACUCAAGAGAGGGAUAAAGAACAGCGCUAUGAAUAUGUGCAAAGUCUUGGAGCUGGAUGCUGCUGCAAUUCAGCACGUUUAUAUGUACAUUUGAGGCUGGCUUCAACCUAGCCAAAAGUCAGGGAUGGAACAUUAUUGGCCACCGUGCCAUUGUGAAUGUCCCUGGACAGCGUAGAGGGAAUAUCACCAUGUGCGCAGCCGUUAGCCAGCAAGGCGUCCUCCAUCACCAUGCCAACCUUGGUCCCUACAACACCACCCUUCUCAUUACAUUCCUGGACACACUACAUGGCAUCCUCAUUCCAGCCGAGCAGAUGGGUGGACCAGAGCAGCCCAGGUAUGUUGUCAUCUGGGACAAUGUGAGUUUCCACCGGGCUGCUCUGGUUGAUCGACCACCCACAAUUUAUUGUCCUAUACCUCCCACCAUAUUCCCCAUUCCUAAACCCAAUUGGAGACAUUUUUCUGGCAUGGCGAUGGAAGGUGUAUGACCGCCAUCCCCUCACACGCAUGCCUCUUCUCCAGGCAAUGGAGGAUGCAUGAGGUGAAGUUGAUGUGGGGGCUUUCGGUGGCUGGAUCCGUCACUCCAGAAGAUUCUUUCCCUGUUGUUUAGCCAGGGAGAACAUCGCUUGUGAUGUAGAUGAGGUGCUGUGGCCAGACCAAAAUAUGAUGCAGUAUAAUGUCUUUGUUCUUACAUUUACAUGUGUUUUUGUCUUUUUGUGUUUAGAGUUUUGAAAGAAUGAGCCUAUUUUAUUUUUGUACAGAAAACCCUUUAUCCUACUGGAUGUUUUUCCUGGUUUUCUCCUGUUUGGUAUGGAAAGUGUUACAUACAAAACACAAGUGAUCAAAAAUACUGCAUUUUGGAAAUAAAUGACAUUGUUUUUGGUUCUGUAUUGCGUUUGUGUUAUGUAUGUUUGAGUAGUAUACAUUGUUACAGUAAUCUUUUACAACAGCUACAGUGUAACACUGAAUAGGCAUAAACCAACUGCUGGAUAUUCAUAGUGUUGAGCACAUCAGUGUGUUGUUGGUUGGUAGACAGAUCUACUCAAAUGACGUGUUUCAUUUUGAUGCUUAAAAAAAAAAACAUUUUGGAAAGAGAACAGUUUUGAAUGCAGUGUUUGCUUUUGCUAGAGAUUUGUUUAGUUUUGGGGAAAUGGGCCAACGUUCAGCAAACGUGGAAACCUGUAAGACGAAAUUGAAAUCCCUGACAAAUAGAAGGAGAUACAUUAAAAAAAAAUAUCAAUAACAUCAGUCUGACCAUCACCCUGAGACGUUCCAAUACAAACAAGUGGAAGAGGAAGUCCAGUAGCUAUAAGAGUCAGGCUGGUUCCCAGACUUGCCCCUCUACAAGAUCAUCGGCAGACUAUCACCAUCUACCCUCCUCUGACCAGCUCUCUCCGCUCAAGCCAUGAACUGACCCUAUGCGGUGGAUGCAGCAUUCAAAGACUAGGCCUCUUGAUUGACCUGGGCUGUUAUAUUGCUUGGUUGUUUUUGCUCUUGAACCCCUUUAGAUUCUAUGAAAAGCGCUGUUGAAUAAAUGAUUAUUUACCUGCUU